GCCAUCCUUCUGGAAUAUUACACAGAGAACAUAUCCAUUCUGAGCUGCAUCUUCCAAAGACAGAUUCUUUUCUUCGAUCCUGUACUCGUGCAUGACCCAAUCAGUUUGAUCCCCUUUGGGUGCUUUACCUCUGAAAAAUGUCAAAGUCUUAAUCUGCCCAACCUCUUCAUUGUUGUAGUUUACAGGCCUGUCCUUUCCAGUACUUUUCCAAUACCCAAAUUGUGUGGCACGAUUCAUUCGAGCCCCACUUGCAUACUUCCUUUCUCUCGGACAAAAGAAGUACCAUUUCAGAUCUCCACUUUUCAAACACGACUUUU
rnacentral:misc_RNA from 1 species